CACCCCCAACCAGGGAUUGAGCUCGCAACCUGGAUCUGAGAAUUCUUGGGCAAGAAGCGAGGAUGUCACAGAGGCAUCUGUGCUGCCAGUGAAGCCAAAAGACCCUGGGAAAG